UGUCUGGGCAUUACAAGUCCCAGCAGGCUUAGCGCCAUGCAAGGAAGUGUUGUUGUUUAUGUGCGGACACUUUAUUUCCUGAUUGCGGCAUAAAUUAACAACAGGUUGUAGAUUGCUCAGCGCUAUAUAAGUGAGUCAAAGUUUGUUUGCCAUUUUGCUGUCGUUGUUGCAUUCUGGUCGCGGCACGUAAAGGCCGAGUCAACACUUCACGUGAGGGGUAGCUGAUGAGCAAACAACAUUUAAUGCUGCCAGAUCUUCAUUGCGAACUUAUUUAAAGAGUGCUAUUACGGGAUCAUUGUUUGCUGAUUGUUGCCUGAGUGUCAGCAUGGGAAAUUAAGGAUCUUAGAGGUUCUGUUUUGGAUUUGCUUUACCAUCAGUGGCCACUGGGUUCCCUGCACUGUGUGGAUGGCGGUGGAGAAAAGGUGGUUGGGAUUGUGUGGUGAUUUGGUCACUGUUGAUUUUUGUGUUUUUUAGGUUGCAGUGUGAUUGCUGUGAGCUGAGUGUGGUGAAAACAC